rnacentral:snoRNA from 15 species
GGCCUAGCAGUGAUGAUGAUGACACUAAGUCACUUUCCUGAACAUGACUGAUGGUUUUAAGUCACUACCUCAUCUGAGCUGGCA